AUGGAAAAUUUAAAAUACAUAAUACUCACAUUUAAUGUCUUUUUUUUUUUUUUUGAAAGAAUCAAGAACAUUCAGCUGGUAAUUUCAGAUGCCUUGAUCAAAGGUAACUACAGUAACACCCUGAGAAAUCCUUGCCUAGAGAGGAUGGCUUCACUUUCAAUACUUUGUACAAGACUAGAUGAAAGAUCUUUUUCACUUCUUUUCCUGCUAAAGCUGACCACCUGGAAUUUGUUUCUGCAUGCAGAACCAUUUCCUUAUGUGCCUGUAAGGUUUUGCCAAAGCCCUUCCCUGUGUCAUUAUCUCAGCUGUCUCAAGAAUACUGUGUUGGAAGAGACCCAUCACCAACAGUUAAUUUCUUCAGGAGUAGGACAUGUUCCUGUCUUCACAACCUUAUGUUUUUCUAACACUUGAGUCUUGCUCCCAUGCCCAUUCAACAAGCUGCAAAGUCCUUCCUGGCCCUGGAGUGGCAGAGAUAGUAUGGUAUUUUGCUGCAGAAAAAUGAACCCUUCUUGAAGGUAUGUCCCUAUCCUAUAGCUCCUUACUCCCAUGCCUCCGUGUGUGCUGGUUACAUGACCUCAGGUCAAUCAUGUGAUCCUGACACAUGACCUGUCUGACAUGGUCUCGUGCAUCAACCUCGUUAAGUAAGAUGAGAGGUCUGACAUUACUGAAUCAAAAAGAGAUUAUGUGUCUCUUUUCAUUUAUCUUAGUCAUAUCAGUAAGUUCACCAGCUUGGCUUGUUACUGUUGAGAAUGUGAUACGAGAUUGCUUGGAAACCGAAACAAUAGCAGGGAUAAAAUGGCAAGCCCUGGAAGGACUGGGAAAGUAGCAGCAGCUGCCUGAAAGAGCUGAUUCUCACAGGUGAAGGCCCUGCCAUCAAGGACUGAAGUGUCUGAGCUUUUCUUAGCUUUCAGAGAAUGGUAAUACUUAGGUAAGACAGAAAACAUGCUGACUUUAUAAUGUACUGGAAGCACUCUGGUUUUGUUCCUACUGCUGAUAUUAAAUAACAUGUUUUGUUCUGAAAAAGUUGGUGUGAGAUGAUGGACUCUGAAAGGAGCUGGGCAGUCAUGGUUGCUUUUCAGGGGAUGAAUUUGAAGGUGCUGCCUUAAGAGUAAGAAAAUAAUGAGAUUUCACUGCAGCACAGGUAAAGGUAAGAAGACAGAAAUGUGACUAGUUGAAUUUGAAAGAUGAAGUCUUCAGAGGCACAACUAUUAGCUGCAUAAAAGUUAAAUUGGGGCUUUUAUACUAUCUUCAUCUUUUGUUUCAGGAGUCCACGUGAAGAAGAAAUUAAAUGUAGCACAGUAUGCUUCAGCCACAUGCCUGUCCAGUCUGCUAAACAGGGAGGCUGGCAGCAGAGUAUGGAUAGAGACUAUGGGUGAAAUUCUGCUUUGCAAUUCUUAGAAAGAUUUGGAAUGCACUCCCAGUUUUGGACAAAGAUUUUGCCCACCAGUGCUGGGCUGUUCUAAGACUAGCAAUGCUCUGGCACCAUUUAAGGGGUAUUUUAUGGCAAUCCAAAGAAGUGAUUGUAACUAGCGUGAUCAUAUGUAAAGACCAACAGUAUUUUGAAGUAGCACAAGUGACAAAAUGGGUGCAUGAGUAAAUAAAUAUUCAAUGGCUUAAUGCUACGCCA
ensembl:lncRNA